UACGUAGGUGGCAAGCGUUGUCCGGAUUUACUGGGCGUAAAGAGCGCGCAGGCGGUCGUUCAAGUCGCGUGUGAAAGCCCCCGGCUCAACUGGGGAGGGUCACGCGAUACUGAUCGACUCGAAGGCAGGAGAGGGUAGUGGAAUUCCCGGUGUAGUGGUGAAAUGCGUAGAUAUCCAGCGGAACACCAGUGGCGAAGGCGGCCUACUGGGCUCCACCUGACACUGAGGCGCGAAAGCGUGGGGAGCGAACCGG
rnacentral:rRNA from 1 species